CUUGAACGCUGGCGGCAGGCCUAACACAUGCAAGUCGAACGAGUGGCGGACGGGUGAGUAAUGUCUGGGAAACUGCCCGAUGGAGGGGGAUAACUACUGGAAACGGUAGCUAAUACCGCAUACCAUCGGAUGUGCCCAGAUGGGAUUCGCUAGUAUGUGGGGGAAUGGCUCACCUAGGCGACGAUCCCUAGCUGGUCUGAUAGGAUGACCAGCCACACUGGAACUGGGACACGGUGCAGAAUACGACGGGAGGCAGCAGUGGGGAAUAGUGGACAAUGGGCGCAAGCCUGAGGCAGCCAUGCCGCGGGUAUGAAGAAGGCCGUCGGGUUGUAAAGUACUUUCAGCGAGGAGGCGUGACUCGCAGAGGAAGCACCGGCUAACUCCGUGCCAGCCGCCGCGGUAAUAC
rnacentral:rRNA from 1 species